UUUAUCAUUUAAAGCCUUUGAUGAUGCAGUCCCUCUCCAAUUUUUUGGUUUUUAUCUUUUACAGUUUCGUCUUUUGAAACUUCUGCUUUACUCAAACUACAACAAACAAAAACAAACCUCAUUUAAAUUGAAAGAAAGGUCUUGUUUGAAUACUGACAUUUCCCGGCAUGGGAAGAUAAAUUCAAUCUUUUUGGCUAUUUAAAAAGACAUAAAAUUGACAUACAGCCUGAAAUAACUUUUAUUACAUUACCAGGUUUUCCAAAUUAAAUGUGAAAGCACAAUUUUGUUCAAUUUUUCAUCUGAAAACACACUUCAUUUUGAGCGUUUUUUUUUCAAAGUGCAGAUAAAUAAGGACUCCCACCAACCUUGAACCCAGGCUUCUGCUGAAGUAUAUAAUUGCUUCAGACAAAAACAGGAAACCUUGGAAAUAAGCUCUUUUUGAAUAAUGUAUUUUAAAAAUUGCUGUGUUUCUUCUUACACAAUGCUUCUCCCAAAUUGGUCUGACCACUUAAGCUGAGUUAGGAAAACAUGUGACUCAGUGUAUAUAUAUAUACACACUACUGUAUAACUAAGACUUCUGGGAGAAGCCACAUCUUAGAACUUACUGUGAGCACAGGAUAAAGAAGGAAACAUGACUGUCUUUAGAAGGAAGAUUCCAAGAACUGGUUGAUUGUGGUGAAAACAGAGUCUGCCUAUACAUGCCUGGUUUAAUUAGGCCUAAAUAAAAAAGCCAUGUGAAGCCUGAAGAUACUGGAUAUAUGAGAUUUGUCAAGCCAUUUUUCCUACCACCAAUGCCUGAACACGACCUCAUUUAUCUUGAUCAAUGAAGCUCAAGGAAGCAUUGCACUUUGGCUUCUGCUUUAAGUUUUGUAUGUUGAUGUGUAUCCCAUGUCUUCUAACAAUAAAGUGCUAUUUUUCUGACAUUAAUCACUGUCAAA